rnacentral:tRNA from 1 species
GCGAGAGUGGUGAAACUGGUAGACACGCCAGACUUAGGAUCUGGUACCUAUGGUAUGAGGGUUCGAGUCCCUCCUCUCGCA